GACGAACGCUGGCGGCGUGCUUAACACAUGCAAGUCGAACGGAAAGGCCCUGCUUGCAGGGUACUCGAGUGGCGAACGGGUGAGUAACACGUGGGUGAUCUGCCCUGCACUUCGGGAUAAGCCUGGGAAACUGGGUCUAAUACCGGAUAGGAGCCAUUUUUAGUGUGAUGGUUGGAAAGUUUUUUCGGUGUAGGAUGAGCUCGCGGCCUAUCAGCUUGUUGGUGGGGUAAUGGCCUACCAAGGCGGCGACGGGUAGCCGGCCUGAGAGGGUGGACGGCCACAUUGGGACUGAGAUACGGCCCAGACUCCUACGGGAGGCAGCAGUGGGGAAUAUUGCACAAUGGGCGCAAGCCUUAUGCAGCGACGCCGCGUGGGGGAUGACGGCCUUCGGGUUGUAAACUCCUUUCGCUAGGGACGAAGCUUUUUGUGACGGUACCUAGAUAAGAAGCACCGGCUAACUACGUG
rnacentral:rRNA from 1 species